UUGAAUUCUCAACUUGAGAGUUUGAUCCUGGCUCAGAACGAACGCUGGCGGCAGGCUUAACACAUGCAAGUCGAGCGCCCCGCAAGGGGAGCGGCAGACGGGUGAGUAACGCGUGGGAAUCUACCCUUUUCUACGGAAUAACGCAGGGAAACUUGUGCUAAUACCGUAUGAGCCCUUCGGGGGAAAGAUUUAUCGGGAAAGGAUGAGCCCGCGUUGGAUUAGCUAGUUGGUGGGGUAAAGGCCUACCAAGGCGACGAUCCAUAGCUGGUCUGAGAGGAUGAUCAGCCACAUUGGGACUGAGACACGGCCCAAACUCCUACGGGAGGCAGCAG
rnacentral:rRNA from 1 species